rnacentral:lncRNA from 1 species
CCGGAUACGGCUCAUGCCAAGGUCCUCUCUCCGGGCGUGUGACCUUCUUCUACCUCCGUGGCUUGCCCCCCGACGUCCGCGCCUCGGCCCCGCUCCCGUGGGAAGCCUCCCUCUCGAUGCUCCUGCCGGCGCCAUCGCGACGCUCCACGUCGGAUCCCGCCAUCUCGCCUACAAGAAGAUGCAAAAAGAUUAGUACAAGUUGCAAGAAAAUUCCUAAGGAAGCAACUAGGGAAAAUCUACGCCGCAAGGUCGUGUACAACCGUCGGUAAAAAAAAGGAGCGAAAGAAUCCCCCUCAGAAACGGCCCCAGGCCCGAGUACGAUACCGUCAGCCCAAGCCCAAUGCAACGACGAAGCAAAAAAAAAUGAGAAGGGAGGAGCCCAGCUCCCCCUGAUGGCAUCUCCGCCCCAACCUGCCUCCGCGGCCCGCGGCCUACAUGCCUCCGGCCCACCUCGGCUGACAGAAGGAUGGGCCUGAGGCCCCGCGCUCGUCCACGGCCCAAGUCCCCAAGGCGGUUCGGACGGCCCAGUAAAAAAAAAGAGGAAAAGAUAAAAGGGAGAUGCACGCCCAUAGGG